rnacentral:rRNA from 1 species
CCCUUAGAUGUUCUGGGCUGCACGCGCGCUACACUGAUGCAUGCAACGAGUUUUCGACCUUGCCUGAAAAGGUUGGGUAAUCUGUUUAACAUGUGUCGUGAUGGGGAUAGACCAUUGCAAUUAUUGAUCUUCAACGAGGAAUUCCUAGUAAGCGCGAGUCAUCAGCUCGUGCUGAUUAUGUCCCUGCCCUUUGUACACAUCGCCCGUCGCUCCUACCGAUUGAGUGAUCCGGUGAAUGAUUCGGACCAGCGUGCUGCUCAGAUCCUGCGCAGUGUGCUGGGAAGUCUAGUGAACCUUAUCACUUAGAGGAAGGAGAAGUCGUAACA